AGUGAACGCUGGCGGUAGGCCUAACACAUGCAAGUCGAACGGCAGCACAGUAAGAGCUUGCUCUUACGGGUGGCGAGUGGCGGACGGGUGAGGAAUACAUCGGAAUCUACUUUUUCGUGGGGGAUAACGUAGGGAAACUUACGCUAAUACCGCAUACGACCUACGGGUGAAAGCAGGGGAUCUUCGGACCUUGCGCGAUUGAAUGAGCCGAUGUCGGAUUAGCUAGUUGGCGGGGUAAAGGCCCACCAAGGCGACGAUCCGUAUCUGGUCUGAGAGGAUGAUCAGCCACACUGGAACUGAGCCACGGUCCAGACUCCUACGGGAGGCCGCAGUGGGGAAUAUUGGACAAUGGGCGAAAGCCUGAUCCAGCCAUACCGCGUGGGUGAAGAAGGCCUUCGGGUUGUAAAGCCCUUUUGUUGGGAAAGAAAAGCAGCAGGUUAAUACCCCGCUGUUCUGACGGUACCCAAAGAAUAAGCACCGGCUAACUUCGUG
rnacentral:rRNA from 1 species